rnacentral:lncRNA from 1 species
UUUUGUUUUCAGGUGGAUAAGACCAAAUUAUAUCUCAUCUAGAUGAGUCCUAGGCACUCCCUUACUCUUUAUCCCUCUGUUUCAAAACCGGAAAUCUUGACCCCUGUUAAAUUGAGUCCCCUGUGACUCAAAGAGGCUUGACAUGAAAUAGCAUCUAAUUUAGGCAUUCGACUGCAUUCGCGUGUCUGUAUCUGUCAGCAUGAGCAUAAUUAAAACGUGCACCAAUAUAUAGAUGUGGACAUUGUCCGCCUGCAUCUCUAAUCUAAUUAUGUGAAGAUAAAUAGUUGUGAAUAAUUUUAUAAUUCACAUCUCAUGUGAGAUUUAGUUUUUGGACGCUUGCCAGCCCAGAAGUGUAUUUUGCGUGAACGCCGGCUGGCAUCGAUCAUCCAGCUAUCCAAGCGAGCGUGUGACACCAGAGCGCGUACAACAUCAGAACGGCCCCAUGCGAUGCGAAGACUUUUGCCAGUGAGCGAACACGCUAACGCACCUGCACGAUCGCGAGGCUGAAAAGGGUCAGGCUCAUAUAGCCAGAACCUUGUGCUAUAUUAUGAACUUUGGAAAACAAAAAUCAAUUAAAAUCGGGAAGAAAAAAAAUCCUGAGUCCCAUAUUCUUUCAGCUAAAAAUUGCCAUGUCUAUGAAGCAAACCUAACCAGAUAAAAAGUCAACAUAUACUAAAAUUUGCCAUCAAAACAACUAUCUAAUAUUAUAUACAUGAAAAGGCAUGGUACUCAUGGUAAAAUUAGAAGUUUGUUCUCUAACUCAUGCAAAAUUUAUAGGCAGAUGACAAAUUUAGAAGAAAAAAAAUGGUGUUCCUAAAUCAUGGCAAAUGUAGGGAUUUUGUCCUCUAAAGUAUGGCAAGUUUUAGAAAAUGUUAAUAUUAGUGAUCUGAAUGAUUUUAUAUUUCUUUAUAGAGGGAGUACAAAACUAAUUUUCAUGAAUGAAAGCAAGGUUAGAGAAAAAAUAAAAAAUAAAGUCACAUGGAAAAUUUAGACAAUUAUUUUCCUGAAUCGUGGCAAAUUGGGAAAACUUGUAACUGUGACAUGGCAAUGUUUGAAGAUUUGUGUUUUGUAAGGCAUAGCAGUUUGUAGGAAAAGAUGUAAUGAUCAUAUGGCAAAUAUAGUUGUACAUCAAGGCAAGUAAUAUUGUUUGUAAUAUAAAAUCUGGAAAAUCAUGGAAACAUGGCAAAUUUUGAAAGAGAAAAAUGGUGUACACACCAUGACAACUUUGGAAAAAUUUUGUUUUCUAAGACAUGGAAAUUUUAGAAAAGUUUUGCAUAGGUCACAUGGAAAAUUUAGAAUGUUUUUGUUUCCAUUCAUGAUGGCAAAAUCUGAAAUUGUUGUGAUGUUUCACCUGGCAAAGUUUAGUUUUUUUCCGAAUAUGAUGGCAAAUUUAGAAAAUGUGUGUGAUGUUGACAUGAAAAAUUCAAAAACGAUUGCUAUAUAGACCAUGGCAAUGAACCUAAUAGUACCCAUAGCUUAAUCGUUUAGGUUUCCAUUUUAUUGCCACUAAUUUUUUUUAGCAUCAGUACAGACACAAGCGCUCAUAUACACGCGCAUACACUCAUCCCUAUGAACGCACACACGCACACUCUACCCCUAUGAGCAUCUUCGAGAGACUGAGCCGGCAUAUCAUCUUGAGAUUUAUGAAGUCACCGUAGGCGCCUCGUCGUCGACGGGAACGUCUCCUCCCACUGAAAGCGCAUCGCCGGAAAUCCUGAAAUAAAUCCAGGAAUAAUGCGAGCACCAGGAUUUGAACCAUGGUGGGUUGGGGAUACCACUGUCCACCUAACCAACUCAACCACAUGUUGAUUCGCAUUUUAUUGCCACUAAUUGAUAUGUUAUGAUGGGUCUUUUUUCUACUACCUAAUUGCCACCUUAAUUGUAUUGGUUGCCAUGAUAAUUCAAAAUGGCUUGCCAUGUGUUGUGGACAAAAGCUACCAGGUAGUGGGAUGAUAAUUUGUCGUUUUAGAAAUAAAAUAUACAUAUCCAAAGUUGUCAUGUAACAAAACAGAAAAAGAACUACUAAUUGCCAUGGUGUCAAAAAUUUAGUUGACAUGCCAAAAAAAUUGAAGAUGACAUGGCAAACGCAUCUUUAAGUCGCCAUGGGAAACACAUCAUAAUUUGCCAUUAUUAUUUCGUGGUCAAAAAUAUAAAAUGUUGCCAGUACAAAAAUGCAAACUAAUUGCCAUGAGUAGGAGUUUACAAGUUGUGCAUUCUGUUGAGUGAAAAAUGAUCGGUGUUGCUUCAUACACUAUUGAGCACGUAGAGCGUCAGGGCAAACCGUGAAAAAACUACAAUAUAGAAAAUGCAGUACCUCUGUUUUCUGCCCCACCUGAAGCUAGCUCCAUGUGUUGCAUAUCC